AUUCUUCAGGGGUAGAGUGUUUUGAGUUUGGAAUUCUUCAGGGGUAAAGGAUUUUGAGUUUGGAAUUCUUCAGGGGUAGGGUGUUUUGAGUUUGGAAUUCUUCAGGGGUAGGGUGUUUUGAGUUUGGAAUUCUUCAGGGGUAGAGUGUUUUCAGUUUGGAAUUCUUCGGGGGUAAAGGAUUUUGAGCUUGGAAUUCUUCAGGGGUAAAGUGUUUUGAGUUUGGAAUUCUUCAGGGGUAGAGUGUUUUGAGUUUGGAAUUCUUCAGGGGUAAAGGAUUUUGAGCUUGGAAUUCUUCAGGGGUAAAGAGGUUUGAGAUCGAAAUUUUUCAGAGUUUGGAAUUCUUCAGGGGUAAAGUGUUUUGAGCUUGGAAUUCUUCAGGGGUACAGUGUUUUGAGCUUGGAAUUCUUCAGGGGUAGGGUGUUUUGAGGUUGGAAUUCUUCAGGGGUAGAGUGUUUUGAGCUUGGAAUUCUUCAGGGGUAAAGAGGUUUGAGAUCGAAAGUUUUCAGAGUUUGGAAUUCUUCAGGGGUAAAGUGUUUUGAGUUUGGAAUUCUUCAGGGGUAGAGUGUUUUGAGCUUGGAAUUCUUCAGGGGUAAAGGAUUUUGAGCUUGGAAUUCUUCAGGGGUAUAACUAUGAAAAACAUGUAUCCUCGACAGGGGGGGUACGGAUAUUAAAUGGAAUAGCCCAA
rnacentral:lncRNA from 1 species